UCUCUCUUUUUCUCUCUCUCUCAUUGGGAGCAGAGGAAGAAGGAGAGAGAGAGAGAGAGAGAGAGA